rnacentral:lncRNA from 1 species
CUUCUUCUCCUCCUUCUUCUCCUUCUUCUUAUCCUUCUUCUUUUCUUCUUCUUCUCCUCUUCCUUCUCCUUCUCCUCCUCCUUCUCCUCCUCCUCCUCCUUCUUCUUCUUCUUCUUCUUCUUCUUAUUCUUCUUCUCCUUCUUCUUCUCUUCUUGCUUCUUCUCUUUCUUCUUCUACGUAGGUUAUUUUCCCCCAACAAAGACAUACUUAGCUAAUUAUCCUCCAAAAUGAAAUAAUUAGCAUAGUUCGGUAAAAACAUCAUAAGAACCUUGGUUAGCUCAUUAAAAUGAGUAAUUUAGCUCCAAAAUGACAUAAUAACGUCAAAAAGGAUUAAUAAUCAUAGUUGGC